rnacentral:rRNA from 1 species
UACGUAGGGUGCGAGCGUUGUCCGGAAUUACUGGGCGUAAGGAGCUCGUAGGCGGUUUGUCGCGUCUGCUGUGAAAACGCGAGGCUCAACCUCGCGCCUGCAGUGGGUACGGGCAGACUAGAGUGCGGUAGGGGAGAUUGGAAUUCCUGGUGUAGCGGUGGAAUGCGCAGAUAUCAGGAGGAACACCGAUGGCGAAGGCAGAUCUCUGGGCCGUAACUGACGCUGAGGAGCGAAAGCGUGGGGAGCGAACAGG